UGGCAGUGAUGUUGAGAUUUUAUACCAUCAAACUAUGAAAGCUUUUUGGAAGCUUGUUGAUGCUACCAAUUACUAUACUCGCUGAGCCC